AGUAGUCAUAUGCUUGUCUCAAAGAUUAAGCCAUGCAUGUCUAAGUACAAGCCUAACUAAGGUGAAACCGCGAAUGGCUCAUUAAAUCACACCUAAUCUACAGUUAUGUUCCUGUUACUUGGAUAACUGCGGUAAUUCUGGAGCUAAUACAUGCGAAAAAGCCUCAACUUACGGCGAGGCGCUUUUAUUAGACCAAAACCAAACGGUUCUUCCGUUACUCUGGUGAUUCUGAAUAACUUUGUGCAGAUCGUACGGACUCGUUCCGACGACAAUAACUUCGAAGGUGUGCCCUAUCAACUGUCGACUGUGGUAUAGACGUCCACAGUGGUUUUGACGGGUAACGGGGAAUUAGGGUUCGAUUCCGGAGAGGGAGCCUGAGAAACGGCUACCACUUCUAAGGAAGGCAGCAGGCACGCAAAUUACCCAAUGGUCGAAGACCGAGGUAGUGACGAAAAAUAACGAUACCGGACUCAUCCGAGGCCCGGUAAUCGGAAUGAGUACACUUUAAAUCCUUUAACAAGGAACAAUUGGAGGGC
rnacentral:rRNA from 1 species